CCUACGGGAGGCAGCAGUGAGGAAUAUUGGUCAAUGGGCGCGAGCCUGAACCAGCCAAGUAGCGUGCAGGACGACUGCCCUACGGGUUGUAAACUUCUUUUAUACAGGAAUAAAGUGAGGCACGUGUAGCUUUUUGUAUGUACUUUAUGAAUAAGGAUCGGCUAACUCCGUGCCAGCAGCCGCGGUAAUACGGAGGAUCCGAGCGUUAUCCGGAUUUAUUGGGUUUAAAGGGAGCGUAGAUUGGUUGUUAAGUCAGCUGUGAAAGUUUGAGGCUCAACCGUGAAAUUGCAAUUGAUACUGGCAGCCUUGAGUACGGUUGAGGUAGGCGGAAUUCGUGGUGUAGCGGUGAAAUGCUUAGAUAUCACGAAGAACUCCGAUUGCGAAGGCAGCUUGCUAGGCUGCCACUGACAUUGAUGCACGAAAGUGUGGGGAUCGAACAGGAUUAGAUACCCCGGUAGUC
rnacentral:rRNA from 1 species